rnacentral:rRNA from 1 species
CUCUUCGGGGAUGAUUAAACCGGCGCACGGGUGAGUAACACGUGAGUGACCUGCCUUUUAGACUGGAACAACUUACCGAAAGGUGAGCUAAUGCCGGAUGAGUUAUAUAAGUGCAUGUUUAUAUAGGAAAAGUUGGGGAGACCUGACGCUGAAAGAUGGACUCGCGUCCCAUUAGCUAGUUGGUAGGGUAAUGGCCUACCAAGGCGACGAUGGGUAGCCGGCCUGAGAGGGUGGCCGGCCACACUGGGACUGAGACACGGCCCAGACUCCUACGGGAGGCAGCAGUGGGGAAUUUUGCGCAAUGCUCGUAAGAGUGACGCAGCGACGCCGCGUGAAUGACGAAGGCCUUCGGGUCGUAAAGUUCUUUCGACAGGGAAGAAAAUGCCUAUAAGUAACUGUGUAUGUAUUGACGGUACCUGUAUAAGCAGCCCCGGCUAACUCCGUGCCAGCAGCCGCGGUAAUACGGAGGGGGCGAGCGUUGUUCGGAGUGACUGGGCGUAAAGAGCACGUAGGCGGUGUUGUAAGUCAUUAGUCAAAGACUAGAGCUCAACUUUAGUAAGGCUAGUGAUACUAUAAUACUAGAGUAUCAGAGAGGAUUGCAGAAUUCCUGGUGUAGCGGUGAAAUGCGUAGAUAUCAGGAGGAAUACCGUUAGCGAAGGCGGCAAUCUGGCUGGAAACUGACGCUGAGGUGCGAAAGCGUGGGUAGCAAACAGGAUUAGAUACCCUGGUAGUCCACGCUGUAAACGAUGGAUGCUAGGUGUUGGGCUUUUAAGUU